CCUCAGGUGACCCCCCCACGUCCUGCUGCCACUGCAGGUGAGUAGAGGUACAGGGCGUCCAGGUCGCCGUACAGGAUGAGGUGUGUGUGUGCGUGUGUUCCCGCGGGGGGAGGAGAGAGUGAUUUAGGAGGUGAUGUCGUCCGUCCCUGCCCAUCGUGGACCAAGUCAGUGUUGACAGUGUCAGUGUUAGCUGCGCAUGCUGAUCAAACAGAUCAGAGUAAAUCGAGAGAAAUUUUGCAUCAUCGCUAUGGAAACAGAGCCAGAGCCAGAGCCCAGCCGUGGCAGGGCAGCCUCUGUGGACGAGGAACUUGAUUACGACAUGAAAACAGAACAGACGCAUGCCGCUCCCGCUGUAGGAGAGAGGUCAGAGUCGCCGUCUCCUGCGAGGCUUGCCUGUCUCUUCAGCCCGGACUGCAUGGACGAUGAGGUCUUUCUCGUUCCCACACCAUGCCCUGACUCCAAGACAUCAGAACGUAGUGUGGCAGAACUUUCCAAAUCAGGUAUAAAUGGAGCAUGUGCAUCCAGUGAAGCUAAGAACUUGAUAGACAAACAGCCUGUUAGGUCUGAACCAGAGACCGUGGAUGAUAUGAAUUCCACAUGGCAAGCCACCAAUUCCUCUGCGGCACACGAGGCAUCAAAAACAUCAGAAUAUGUAGAAGGUGAUGAAAAAAAUCCUGCAGAGAAGAAAGAGGUGGGACCCAUCGAAACCACAAGUGCCGCUGAAGAGAGUACGGUGAGCUUUGCAGCCACAGACAACGUAAAGAACCGCAUUUGCAGUGACGAAGUCAACCACACUCCAAACCUUCCGGAAGACCUUGCACAUGAACAACAGUUUGAAUUUUCAUCUCAGGGCGCUGUCAUACAGGACAGUCAGCAGGGAGAGCUGCUGCUCCAUCGCCUUCAGCUGGUCCAGCAGAGACAGGGCGAGGUGUUUGAGCCUCGGGUAGCCAAGGAAGACACAGAAGAUGGCGAGAAGGCAGACACAACGAAUGGGUAUGACAGCCCUGCUUGCCCUUCAAGCAGACAAACAUCAGGAGCAGUAGAGGGAUCGCUGCUUCCUCCAGCUCACAGCUCGAGUGAUGAUGAUCAGAGUGACAGCGGGGUAUCUGCUGACUUCUCUCCUUGCAGUGCCCAGGAGCUUCAAGCUGCCACCGUGGCAGCUGCCGCUAAACACCAACAUCUCCCUCUGGACUUGGAGCUCAAAGCCAAGGGUCAGAAGGAUCUUACCCAACAGCGCCCGCGGGGCUGCAGAGACGGUCAGACUGUGGCAGAGGUCUACAGAACCAGGUGUCUACAAAAGACGGACAAAAGUCAAGAAGCCUUGAAUAGACAAGGCAGGGCCUGUGGUGACUACAGCAGAGGUUCUGUGCAACAAUUUCGUGAGAGAAAGCAGAUGUUCGAGGCCUUCCAGCAGGGCAGGCCAGUUAAGGUAAAGCCUCAGGUCACCCAAAUGGGCUUCCUGUCCUACUCAAAGUCCACCACGUCAUUAGCCAGCGCUUCCUUGUGUCUGACCUUCCCCUGCAUCUCAGUGUUGGAGCGAACACGAAGCUUGGAUCUGCACAGGCAGGCACCCGAGACGCAGGCUGCCUGGUUUAAUAGCAACAGGACAGGUCCUUCUGACCAACUGGACUCUCAGACCAUGGCUGACGGGACGGAGAGGAAAAGGAUAGUCCUCGAUGGUGAUGUCACCCUUGUAGUCGCGCAGGUCUAUCGCAAGAGGUCCUUACGUCCCUCCCUCAGCACAGGGUGUCUUUUCACAAGACUGACUAAUGAGGAGGAGGAACCAAAGAGGAGAGGGGACGAGGAAGAUGAGAAUGACGAGGAGGAAGAAGGUUCCGCUCUGUACAGAGGGAACCCCUUCUGUAAACUCCGCCCUUCAUUGGCUCUCAGGCCAGAUGUGGCCCGUGAAAUCCGAGAGGCACGGGAGCGGGAAAGAGAACUUAGACAACUGCGAAUGGGUCUUUACGGAGACGACAGGGCUUGGAAGCACAGCUGCGGCUCAACAAAUACGCCAAACACCCAAACUGAAGCAGUUCCUUCAAAAACAGAUCAACAGUCUCGAGGAAAACUGGAGCUUAUCUGGCCCCCUCCUUCCAGUGAGAAUGUGAAGCAGCCAAGUGAAACACAGGAACUCAGACCUCCAAAGCUAGCAAGUCAAAGAUCUGCCCUCUGGCAACGCUGGGAAACGGGAAUGGUGAAUGGCUGUGGGGAAGAAGAAGACUGAAGCAGGGUGCCUAUGCAGUCUAAACUCACACAUCUACAGACCAGUGGAGCUGACCUGAUCACCCAACUGCCAGCAAGAAUACUGAGACACACUUAUGAAGCAUUGCAUACACACACACCCAAUCUGGUUCUUGUUGUCCAAGGCUAUUUAAAGUACAGGACUAUAAUUAACACAGUUUAUCCUGUGAAAAAUGGCUGUUAUAUUGAGCUUGUUAAAUUUUCAUCCUUGUAAACCUGAGCGUACAUAAUAUUGAGUUUUACAAGGGGUUUACUAAAGGCGUUGCAUUGCAUUCCUAGCGUGCACUUUAAUCUUCUAACAUGCACAGAAUGCUUUGCCUAAUUUGGUAAAAGGUUUUUGCCCAUUAGAAGGUCAAUAAUACCAAUGAAUUCACAUAACCGUAAAUGAAUCUGAUGAAUAUGAGCUUCAGAAACUGUUACAAACAGUGCUUUAGAACAGUCUGUUCGAAAGAUCUGAUAAACACAUUGUACAGUACUGUUUUGGAUCUGAGUGGGGGAAAAACUUGGAAAUGAAGACAUGUUUCUUUAGGAAAUAAACAGUUAGUGGUUGUUAGCCA
ensembl:lncRNA uncharacterized LOC114793333